rnacentral:rRNA from 1 species
UUUCCCUCAGGAUAGCUGGAGCUCGCGUGCGAGUUCUAUCGGGUAAAGCCAAUGAUUAGAGGCCUCGGGGGCGCAACGCCCUCGACCUAUUCUCAAACUUUAAAUAGGUAGGACGGCGCGGCUGCUUUUCUAUACGUUCUAUGCCGAUCAAACACUUGAUUAAUAAAGAUGCCCCA